UACAGAGGUCUCAAGCGUUGUUCGGAUUCAUUGGGCGUAAAGGGUGCGUAGGUGGCGGGGUAAGUCAGGUGUGAAAUCUCGAGGCUCAACCUCGAAACUGCACUUGAUACUGCCUUGCUCGAGUACUGGAGAGGAGAUUGGAAUUUACGGUGUAGCAGUGAAAUGCGUAGAUAUCGUAAGGAAGACCAGUGGCGAAGGCGAAUCUCUGGACAGUUACUGACACUGAGGCACGAAGGCCAGGGGAGCAAAGCGGG
rnacentral:rRNA from 1 species